rnacentral:lncRNA from 1 species
GCUCAGUAAGAUUCUGCUGUUGGUCAGCUCCAUCUUCUUGAUUUACACCUCCUUCCAGCAACAUCUGCUGAUAUAAUUGCCGUUGUUGCUCUUUCUGCUCUAAGUGCUGCUGGUAACGUAGCCUUUGUCUGUAAUAUUCUUGAAACUGCUCUGUUGAAUCACGAAGCUCAUUUUUCUCUUGUUUGGCCGAUCCCUGACUCUGCGCUCCGGUGACUUGCUCAUUUUCUGGAGCUACACUCUGGGACAAUGUCUCGCUGCCAAUGGGAUGCUGUGGCUCCACAGGAGUAUCACUUCUCGCAGCAACAUGAAAAAGAAG